rnacentral:rRNA from 1 species
CCUACGGGGGGCUGCAGUGGGGAAUAUUGGGCAAUGGGCGAAAGCCUGACCCAGCGACGCCGCGUGGGCGAUGAAGGCCUUCGGGUUGUAAAGCCCUGUCAUGCGGAAAGAACGACCCUGUGACGCAUACUCACAGGGAGUGACGGUACCGCAGGAGGAAGCACCGGCUAACUCCGUGCCAGCAGCCGCGGUAAUACGGAGGGUGCAAGCGGGGUUCGGGGGUGCUUGGCGGAUAGGGCACGUCAGCGGUGAAAUACUCCGGCUCAACUGGGGAACUGCAUCUGAAACUGCAUAACUAGAGUACAGAAGAGGGAAACGGAAUUCCCGGUGUAGAGGUGAAAUUCGUAGAUAUCGGGAGGAACACCAGUGGCGAAGGCGGUUUCCUGGUCUGAUACUGACGCUGAGGCGCGAAAGUGUGGGGAGCAAACAGGAUUAGAUACCCCUGUAGUC